rnacentral:lncRNA from 1 species
AAAUUUCAUUGGUUUAACAACAUCACUUUCAUCAUUCCCAUAAUUCAAUCAAAUUUCAUGGGUUUAACAUCAUCAUUUUCGUCAUUCACACAGUUCAAUCAAAUUUCAUGGGUUUAACAUCAACAUUUCACCAUUUCCANUUUCAUCAUUUCCACAAUUCAAUCAAAUUUCAUAGGUUUAACAACAACAUUUUCAUCAUUCACACAAUUCAAUCAAAUUUUAUAGGUUUCACAACAACAUUUUUAUCAUCCCCAUAAUUCAACCAAAAUUCAUGGGUUUAACAACAACAUUUGCAUCAUUCCCACAAUUCAAUCAAAUUUCAUGGGUUUAACAUCAACAUUUUAAUCAUUCCCACAAUUCAAUCAAAUUUCAUGGGUUUAACAAAAACAUUUCUAUUAUUCACAAAAUUCAAUCAAAUUUUAAGGGUUUAACAACAACAUUUUCAUCAUUCCCACAAUUCAAUCAAAUUUCAUGGGUUUAACAUCAACAUUUUCGUCAUUCCCACAAUUCAAUGAAAAUUCAGUUGUUUAAUAACAACAUUUACAUUAUUCCCACAAUUCAAUCAAAUUUCAUAG